GUCCUUGGAUGGGGUUUCUGGCACAACUUAAUAGUGUUUGGCCAUCCCAUCAACAGAGUAGAGCCUUUUUGAAGUCUUGUGCCCCAAACCCUCAGGAGCCAUGCUGCUGUUGCUGACCUUGGCUCUCCUUGUUGGUGCCACCUGCGGAGCCCAGAAUGUACUGGGCAAUAAUAUCGGCACCUAUUUCUACAUUGUUGAUGAAGGGAAGGGGGAAAUCAAGUCCAUCCGGAUCUUCUAUACAGCGGCAAGAAGCCUCAAGGGGGUCACUUGGAGACUCUGCCUAGGAAAAUAAGGUGGCAUACCUGGGAAAAUGGCAGAGAAAGUAAGAAACAACAUUUGCUCUGCAAACACGAAGACUUGAGUUGGAUCCCCAGAACCCGUGUAAAAGGAAGGAGUAGCCUGGCAAGAUGGAGGGGACUGUGAGGUAAGCACUGGGGCAGCAA